UGAGGAAUAUUGGGCAAUGCCCGCAAGGGUGACCCAGCAACGCCGCGUGGAGGAUGAAUGUCGUAAGAUUGUAAACUCCUGUUAGAGGGGAAGAAUAGUACCGGUUGGACCGGUAUAUGACUGUACCCUCAGAGAAAGCCCCGGCUAACUACGUGCCAGCAGCCGCGGUAAUACGUAGGGGGCAAGCGUUGCCCGGAUUUACUGGGUGUAAAGGGCGCGCAGGCGGGAUAAAAAGUCAGUGGUGAAAUCCUACAGCUUAACUGUAGAACUGCCUUUGAUACUUUUAUUCUUGAGUUCGGGAGAGAGAGACGGAAUUCCAGGUGUAGUGGUGAAAUACGUAGAUAUCUGGAAGAACACCUGUUCCGAAGGCGGUCUCUUGGUCCGACACUGACGCUGAGGCGCGAAAGCGUGGGGAUCAAACA
rnacentral:rRNA from 1 species